AUGUUCCGGCAUUGUUAUCCGGAUACAAUAAUCGAGGACACGACUUUCACUUUUACUAUGGCAGUUCGAUCGUAAACUCAUCGUUACAAAUAUAAAACGUACGAAAUUAACAAGAAUACAUAUAAAUAUAUUUUCUACAAUAUUUUUGAGAAGAAUCUAAUAAAGAAUCUGAAGUUAUGAAGUUGAUAUUGUCUGAUGA